rnacentral:tRNA from 1 species
GGGGCCGUGUGCUAGUCUGGUAUGCUUCCAGCUUGGGGUGCUGGCGACCCGAGUUCAAAGGAAGGAGGCACGC